rnacentral:rRNA from 1 species
CAUGCAUGUCUAGUACAACUAUUUUAAAAGUGAAACCGCAAAAGGCUCAUUAUAUCAGUUAUGGUUUAUUAGAUCAUUAACAGUUACUUGGAUAACUGUGGUAAUUCUAGAGCUAAUACAUGCUAUAUAAACAUGGACCUUAUGGAACAUGUGCUCUUAUUAGUCUAAAACCACGCGAUUUUUUUAAAAUCGUUAUAAUGGUUGAACUCUAGAUAAUUUGCCAAUCGUAUGGUCUUGUACCGACGAUAGAUCUUUUAAAUGUCUGCCCUAUCAACUAUUGAUGGUAGUAUCUAGGACUACCAUGGUUGCAACGGGUAACGGGGAAUCAGGGUUCGAUUCCGGAGAGGGAGCCUGAGAAACAGCUACCACAUCUAAGGAAGGCA